rnacentral:rRNA from 1 species
UACGUAGGGUGCGAGCGUUGUCCGGAAUUAUUGGGCGUAAAGAGCUUGUAGGCGGUUUGUCGCGUCUGCCGUGAAAAUCCGAGGCUCAACCUCGGACUUGCGGUGGGUACGGGCAGACUAGAGUGUGGUAGGGGAGACUGGAAUUCCUGGUGUAGCGGUGAAAUGCGUAGAUAUCAGGAGGAACACCGGUGGUGUAAACGGCUUUCUGGACCAUAACUGACACUGAGGCACGAAAGCGUGGGUAGCAAACAGG